CGAACCGACGAUAUUUGGACCGACAACACCUCUUUGACCUGGAAUUAUUUAUGUAUAUACUGUAUCUAGAAAGCUAAAUUCUAUAGUUGAAUAUUUCGAUGAAGACUAGCAGGGCCAUACAUUACUAGAAUAAUAAAAAUUUCGCUGGCGAUAAUUAAAUGAAAAAUUUCUGUAGCACCAAUUGCAAGAUAUGGGUUGCUCAAAAUUGCAGGAAUGAAUGAAUGAAAAAGACUGAAGCAGUAGCUGUACAAAUGACAAUGAACAUGGAAACAAGUAAAAAAGCAACUUUUGCAGACUUUAAGUUGUUUGUGUCAAAUUGGUACGAUGAACACAUACCCAUCAAUAUGCUGAAAGUAUUAUUUAAGGACCAUGUAGAAAAUACUUUCGCAUUACAUAUUUCUUCUAAGACAAUUACCUUAAUGAAUAUGCUGAUAACAUCUGGAAGUUUGAGUCCAACAGACCUCACUCUCCUUUAUGAUACUAUUAAGGCAACAAAGCAAUUUGGUCUGGAAGAAGAAAUUCAAAAUGAA